rnacentral:rRNA from 1 species
AGGGAUUCCCUUAGUAGGGGCGACUGAACAGGGACCAGCCCAGCGCAUAACCUCGCAGUUACUAGCCUAAGCUGUCGAGGGGUGUUGCGUAUCGGUGGAUCCGACCUGCCCGUGCUGUGACGCCUGAGUACCCAUGACUAAAUUCGAGAAAAGCUCAAAAGAGGGUGUGAGACCCCUAAAAGACGAGGGCGGCGCCCGAAAGGGCUUUAUGCGGCACGGGUAGAUGGAUCAUUACACCGGGGAGUCGGGUUGCUUAAUACUGCAGCCCUAAGAGAGGUGGUAAACUCCAUCUAAGGCUAAAUAUUCCCGCGAGACCGAUAGCAUACAAGUACCGUGAGGGAAAGAUGCAAAGAACUUUGGAGAGAGAGUUCAACAGAAUGUGAAACCAUUAGAAGCUAUAAACGGGUGGAACUGCGAAGCAGCGAAAGGGUUAGGCAUUCAGCCUGCUGCUUGGCCGCGGCGUGGGAGCGCUGCCCGGCGUGCGUUGGCCGUAUUACGCUGCGCCUGGGGAGUCCCCAUUAUUAGCCUGCGGCUGCAGAGGGCGUAUUUGUCAGACCCCGGUAGUAAAGUCGCCAUGGCGAGCCGUUUGCGGGAGCCAGGAGGGCAGUGACCGGAUUGGUACCUUCUUUGUUGAGGGGAAGACCGGGAAUUGUGUGUCAUCCGGACAUUGGCUCUGUAUAACGCUUCGGUGCUGGGAGGGGGGGGAUUCGUUUCCUCCCUCGCCGUGGUACGAAGUAGCAGUGAUCCACCCGACCCGUCUUGAAACACGGACCAAGGAGUCUAACCUAUGUGCGAGUCUGUCCUAUCUCUGUAGAUCUGACGGGCGCAAUGAAAGUGAGCGAACUAUGGCCAAAAAAAGUUCGGAGCAGGCCGAUCCUUCGGGCGCAGGCCAGGGGCUCGCCUACUGCGGUUACCGGCGUUGUGCUCGUCGUGGAGGCCUGUAGUAAGCUCUCUCUCUCGCGAGGGAGGAGGGCUGGGGCAGGAGCAAGCGGCGAGGUGAACGUCGCGUGGACUCUGGCGAGUACCUAAAUAGCACACAUGUUGGGACCCGAAAGAUGGUGAACUAUGCCUGGCCAGGACGAAGCCAGAGGAAACUCUGGUGGAGGUCCGAACCAGUUCUGACGUGCAAAUCGAUUGUCAGAGCUGGGUAUAGGGGYGAAAGACUAAUCGAACCA